rnacentral:tRNA from 1 species
GUUCCCCUUCGUCUAGAGGCCUAGGACACCGCCCUUUCACGGCGGUAACAGGGGUUCGAAUCCCCUAGGGGACGCCA